GUCCUAUGAUGGUGUCCCUUGAAUAGAUAUGCGGACUGAGUUGGCAACGGGGUUUGUUGCAGAGAUUGAUUCCUGGGUUAGUGUUUUGAUUGUGUGGUAUGUAGUUGCUGGUGAGUAUUUGCUUCAGGUUGGGCGGCUGUCUAUAAGCGAGGACUAAUUGGUCUCCCAACAUCUGUGAGAGUGUGGG